UGCUUGGGUAGCUCAGUUGGUAGAGCACUUGCCCGCAAAAGGCAAAGGUCCCGAGUUCGAGUCUCGGUCCGGCAC
rnacentral:tRNA from 1 species